rnacentral:rRNA from 1 species
GACGAACGCUGGCGGCGUGCUUAACACAUGCAAGUCGAACGGAAAGGCCCUGCUUUUGUGGGGUGCUCGAGUGGCGAACGGGUGAGUAACACGUGAGUAUCCUGCCCUUGACUUUGGGAUAACUUCAGGAAACUGGGGCUAAUACCGGAUAGGAGCUCCUGCUGCAUGGUGGGGGUUGGAAAGUUUCGGCGGUUGGGGAUGGACUCGCGGCUUAUCAGCUUGCUGGUGGGGUAGUGGCUUACCAAGGCUUUGACGGGUAGCCGGCCUGAGAGGGUGACCGGCCACAUUGGGACUGAGAUACGGCCCAGACUCCUACGGGAGGCAGCAGUGGGGAAUAUUGCACAAUGGGCGGAAGCCUGAUGCAGCAACGCCGCGUGCGGGAUGACGGCCUUCGGGUUGUAAACCGCUUUCGCCUGUGACGAAGCGUGAGUGACGGUAAUGGGUAAAGAAGCACCGGCUAACUACGUG